rnacentral:rRNA from 1 species
AACGAACGCUGGCGGCAUGCCUAACACAUGCAAGUCGAACGAGACCUUCGGGUCUAGUGGCGCACGGGUGCGUAACGCGUGGGAACCUGCCCUUAGGUUCGGAAUAACUCCCCGAAAGGGGUGCUAAUACCGGAUAAUGUCUUCGGACCAAAGAUUUAUCGCCUUUGGAUGGGCCCGCGUUGGAUUAGCUAGUUGGUAGGGGAAAAGCCUACCAAGGCGACGAUCCAUAGCUGGUCUGAGAGGAUGAUCAGCCACACUGGGACUGAGACACGGCCCAGACUCCUACGGGAGGCAGCAGUGGGGAAUAUUGGACAAUGGGCGAAAGCCUGAUCCAGCAAUGCCGCGUGAGUGAUGAAGGCCUUAGGGUUGUAAAGCUCUUUUACCCGGGAUGAUAAUGACAGAACCGGGAGAAUAAACUCCGGCUAACUCCGU